rnacentral:piRNA from 1 species
UACCCAAUACAUGCUAGCCAG